rnacentral:rRNA from 1 species
GCUGGCGGCAGGCCUAACACAUGCAAGUCGAACGGAGUUAUAUUGUAGCUUGCUAUGGUAUAACUUAGUGGCAGACGGGUGAGUAAUGUAUAGGAAUCUACCUAGUAGUACGGAAUAAUUGUUGGAAACGGCAACUAAUACCGUAUACGCCCUACGGGGGAAAAAUUUAUUGCUAUUAGAUGAGCCUAUAUUAGAUUAGCUAGUUGGUGGAGUAAUAGCCUACCAAGGCAAUGAUCUAUAGCUGAUCUGAGAGGAUGAUCAGCCACACUGGAACUGAGAUACGGUCCAGACUCCUACGGGAGGCAGCAGUGGGGAAUAUUGGACAAUGGGCGAAAGCCUGAUCCAGCCAUGCCGCAUGAGUGAAGAAGGCCUUUGGGUUGUAAAGCUCUUUUAGUGAGGAAGAUAAUGACGGUACUCACAGAAGAAGUCCUGGCUAACUCCGUGCCAGCAGCCGCGGUAAUACGGAGAGGGCUAGCGUUAUUCGGAAUUAUUGGGCGUAAAGGGCGCGUAGGCGGAUUAGUAAGUUAAAAGUGAAAUCCCAAGGCUCAACCUUGGAAUUGCUUUUAAAACUGCUAAUCUAGAGAUUGAAAGAGGAUAGAGGAAUUCCUAGUGUAGAGGUGAAAUUCGUAAAUAUUAGGAGGAACACCAGUGGCGAAGGCGUCUAUCUGGUUCAAAUCUGACGCUGAGGCGCGAAGGCGUGGGGAGCAAACAGGAUUAGAUACCCUGGUAGUCCACGCGGUAAACGAUGAAUGUUAAAUAUGGG